UACGUAGGGUGCAAGCGUUGUCCGGAAUUAUUGGGCGUAAAGAGCUCGUAGGCGGUUUGUCGCGUCUGCUGUGAAAACUGGGGGCUCAACCCCCAGCCUGCAGUGGGUACGGGCAGACUAGAGUGCGGUAGGGGAGAUUGGAAUUCCUGGUGUAGCGGUGGAAUGCGCAGAUAUCAGGAGGAACACCGAUGGCGAAGGCAGAUCUCUGGGCCGUAACUGACGCUGAGGAGCGAAAGCGUGGGGAGCAAACAGG
rnacentral:rRNA from 1 species